rnacentral:rRNA from 1 species
UACAGAGGGUGCGAGCGUUGUCCGGAAUCACUGGGCGUAAAGCGCACGCAGGUGGCUGAGUCAGUCGAUUGUGAAAGCCCUGGGCUUAACCUAGGAAUUGCAGUCGAUACUACUCAGCUAGAGUAUGGGAGAGGGCAGUGGAAUUCCCGGUGUAGCGGUGAAAUGCGUAGAUAUCGAGAGGAACACCUGCGGCGAAGGCGGGUUGCUGGGCUGACACUGACGCUGAACUGCGAAAGCUAGGGGAGCGAACGGG